GUCAGAGGAGGCGGGGUGCGUCCAAGCCUAGCGACUGCGCGUGCUUAAAGCUCUGGAGCAGAGAACGAGCGAGCGGCCUGAGCAACCCCAGCCCGUGACACCACCCGAACCACGCGCCACUACAGCUUUCCCGGCAUGGGGCGGGGGGCAAAUGCGGGGUGCUCUCCAUCCAGAGAGAGCUACGUUGUCCGCGGCUACGUGGACAACAGAGCGACCAUGUUCCCUCUGCAGCUGUGUGUUAUCACCCUGGGACUUAUGUUCUGGAUCUUUGCCAACUCUUAAGUUCUAUCAUGUCCCCUUGGAUGGACCCUCUUCUGAGGCACUCUGACGGCUGCUCCCCUCGUCCCACUUCUGCCAGCCUUAAAGAAGUCACAGGGAGACCAACACCCCAGGCCCCUAAGAGCAGUUUGGACGACAUCUAAGAGGGGAUGAUGGACCAUGAAUGAGCCAAGCCACCCCUCUUCUUGCCACUCUGGACUGAAACAGCUGGACUGACACCUUCAGUGAACUUCUCUGUGUCACAGCUGGGCUGAAGCCUUCGCUGCAUCAGUGAACUCUGUGUCACCAGCUCAGAUCAGCGUGACACCCUCUAGGAGCAGGUCAACUCCUUGACGGACGCGGUACUCUACAACUCAAAAGGACUAGCUCUGACUGCUGCCCUCCUUGAUCAGGGCUGCUACCACGCCAACAAAUGCUGCCUGGUUUGAAAUGGGGCCUAAAGGCACAGGGACCAGACAAAAGUUCCUCCUGGCUUCCCCCCACUCUGUCUCUUCCCCUGCCUCACGCUUUCUCCCUUCUUUAUCUUAAUACCUACAUUUUUACCGUGUCUUUAAAUGUUUUGCUUACUGAACCCACGCAGAAUUUCCCAUUCGAGCUCUCUCAGUGGCUCUCAUCCCACAACAGCUCCAUUUGUUCCUGACACAUCUGAGAAACAACAACAAUUUCUAUUCAGCACCUAAACAACAAUUGUUUAGGUGCUGAAUAGAAAAGGGACCGUGAUCUCUUCCACCACAGGCCAGAUACAGUUCUUCACAUUAACCCUUUAUUGACCCCUCUUCCCGUCCUCUGCUGCUUUGUAGCCCUCUGCUGCUUCUGCUAGCUCAUUUUUCUAGCAGUCCUGGCAAUGGGACCAGUCACUGUCACCCUGGGACCAGCCUCUGCCCACUUUGUCUCACUCUUGUCUCUUCUGCCUAGGCUCCUGCUCCUCCCCCUCCCUCAACCUUCCCAGAAAAUCUCUCAGCUCUACUCUAUAACCAAAUCAUCUGCUUGUGGCCUUCUAAUAAAUAUUUUCCCAGCUCUCCUCAGGAAUGCGGAAUGACAAUGGCCUGAUCCAUCACAGCUAAUCAAGACUCUAGCAUACAACAUGGCCAGAGAGUUUCCCUUUACUGGACCCAGAACUAACCCCUCUGAUAAAGACUCUCCUCCGGGGAAAGAAAAGAAAAAGCUAUGACAUCCUGCCCUGCGUCUUUUUAAUAUCCUCUCAGAAUUGGGACCGAGUUUCCUGCUGAAGGACUACACUUCCCAGCUUUCCUUGUGGACUACAGGAGUCCUCCCUUAUAAGAGGCACAUCCCAUCUUCCCCUGUAGGCAUUUUGGCAUCCACAAUCAAGUCUUUUUCUCUCUACCUUUGGCCCCUCUAUUGUUGCCUUUUAAAAGUUAGCUAAUAUCAACCAUGAAUGACUGCCCUCCCCCCACCCCCACCCCCAGGUCAUUUGCCUGUUACAGUAGUCUUACAGGACUAAGACUACUUAGGAGAGACAUCAACUUGCCAUAAAAAGCUGGGAGUGUCUGAGUUUGUUGAGGCCCACUUAAUGCAAAGCUGCUUCUUAAAUAGAAUCUGAGUUCUAGUUCCAAUCCUUGGUGGAACCCAACAUGCUACUUAUGACUGUCUCCUUUUAAGAGUUAAUUCGGGGAGCUGGGAGAUGGUUCAGUGGUUAAGAGUACUGGCUGAUCUUCUAGAAGACCCAGGUUCAGUUCCCAGCACCCACAUAACAGUUCACAACGGUCUGUAACUCCAGUUCCAGAGGAUCUGAUGCCCUCUCCUCUUCUGGCCUGUGUGGGCACUGCAUGCACGGGGUGCACAGACAUACAUGCAGGCGAAACACCCUACACAUAAAGUAAACAUAAAUAGACUAUUUUUAAAGGUAUCCCAAUAGAGUCUGUCAAUUAUCUGUCCAAGAGUCUGCCUUUGUCCCGCCAAAAACUCUGAGUCACCUAAAGACAUGCUAUUGACAGGGAAGGACUAAUUAUCCCCUUAAUGACAUAUUGUAUUUUCCCUUCCUAGGAGCCUCUCCCUCAAAGCAGCUACUUGCAGGACAUCCAUCAGGCAGGCAGCACAUUGGAGCCACCAUUAUGCACCCUGCCAGCUUUUCUGAAUAUUUUUUUCUUUUUCUGUGUAUACAUGGGGUAUGUGUGUGUGUGUGUGUGUGUGUGUGUGUGUGUGUCUGGAAUUACAGGUGGCCAUCACACCCACUUAGCAUUUACAUAGGUUUCUGAAGAUCCAAACUCAGGUCUUCGCCCUGGCAUAGCAAAUGCAUUGGCCACCGCACCCCUUUUCUUUCUUCUCAAUUCCUUUUCUUUCAGAUCCUGGCUAAAGCCAGGACAUGAGCUCGCACUUGUCCUCGGAAGCUCACCUCUCCCCCAGCUCCCACCAGGCUGCGGCUUUCCAGCCACAGCUCAAAAGACAUGAAUGCAUCUUCUCCAUCUCUCUAUUCCAGAGAGACUGACAGCUUGCUUGAUCUGUUGCUUUGCUAUCAAACUCUAGUCUAACUGUGUUUGAGCUUCCUUCUGAGACCAUUUCUAAAUCCUUUUGUUGUUGAAACAAAGGCCCACCCAGGGAAGAAGCCCACUAUACUCAGUAACAUUGUAGAGAUGGGAUGCUCCUGGUGGGAUGCUGCCCCACAGGCCGGAGUGCACAGCCCAGACCUUCAUCCAACACGCAGACCAAGAAUUACCCAACCAUAGAUGUCAAUGCUGAUGAAGUUGAGAACCAAGGGUACGUCAAACAAAUGUGUGUAAGUGUCUUAGAGUGUCUACAGCUGUGCGGCCUGUGAAUACAAGAACCCUUGCUGUGACCCUUGCUCAUGACAUACCCAAGCCAAGCAGGCCACUACCAGGCAGCUGCCCCCACAGAUCACCACAUGCAAGUUUAUCCCACUGUCUAGCAGGUAGCAGGAGAGUCCGUUUCCUUAACAAAGCAUCUAGACAGCACACUAAGAAGCAAGCUCGUGUGCUUGGUCAGUGUGGGCAAAGCAUGAGCGUUUACCCCCAGUUGGCGAUGAAGUCCCGUUGGGGGGUGGUUUUGUGCACUGUGUAUUCAGAUGCUGAUUUCUGUUCCCAGAGAUCUGGUUACAGUCCAGACUUUGGUCUAACUUGGUAUUUUGUAAAACAAUGUUCUCCAUCGUCUCCUGAUUGGUUAAAUAAAGAGCUGAAUAGCCUAUAGCUGGG
rnacentral:lncRNA from 1 species